rnacentral:rRNA from 1 species
AUACGGAGGAUGCAAGCGUUAUCCGGAUUUAUUGGGUUUAAAGGGUGCGUAGGCGGUUUGCUAAGCGGGAGGUGAAAUGCCGGCGCUCAACGUCGGAAGUGCCUCCCGAACUGGUGGACUUGAAUGACUCUGCCGUGGGAGGAAUGGGUAGUGGAGCGGUGAAAUGCUUAGAGAUUACACAGAACACCGAUUGCGAAGGCAUCUCACGAAGGGUUGAUUGACGCUGAGGCACGAAAGCGUGGGGAUCAAACAGGAUUAGAUACCCUGGUAGUCCACGCAGUAAACGAUGAUGGCUAACCGCUGGGCUUAUCAGUUCAGUGGCCAAGCGAAAGCGAUAAGCCAUCCACCUGGGGAGUACGACCGCAAGGUUGAAACUCAAAUGAAUCGACGGGG